rnacentral:lncRNA from 10 species
AAAUGGAGAAAUUUAUAACUGCGCGAUAACACCGCCCUGACCUUCUCUACUCAGCGUGAGAAUUAAUUACCUGAGGCCAGUCCUAUGGAACAUUGUGAAGGCACGAUUCAAAGACGCCAGCCAACCAUCUGGCACUUGAAAGAGGCUAAGAAAGCCAGUUCCAUGGACUCUCCCCAUCAUGGCAUCGGCGGUGAGGAAGAACACUCCUAAAAGAGUGGGGGCCUGUACUGGCAGCCUAGGGCUUAUCUGCAGGAUGGAAAAGCUUCCAGGUAGAGCAGAUGUGAGGUCUGCUCCUUUUCUUGCCUUUACUGAUUGUGAAGCUGACGGGAGUGACUUGUUUUCAGUAAAAUGUGCCAUCGUCUUGACACCUCCAAAAGCUUGGUAGACUCAACUCACUGGACAGAAAUGCAGGGUGCUUGGAGAGAUUUAGUCCCAGUGGGAGAACACAUUGCUACCAUUCACUGGCUCUGACUAUGGAAUAUCUAACUCAGCCCAGAGCUGAGGGUAUGACUUCAUGGGAAGCAGCUUCCCCAUCUUCACUGACCUGAGCUUUUGAGAAUUAACAUCAAAACCCGAAUCAUUAGCAUUGGGAUUGGAAGGGCACUUUGUCAUUUUCUAGGAGAGAGUGGAAUCUUCCUCCUGAAAGAUUUUCCCUAAUGACUACCUGCAGUCCCAAGGGUCGGUAGCUGUGUCAGGCCCUGCAUGGUGUAGCUUGGAAGAGAAACUUGGCUGAGCUAUGGAGACUUGAGAAGGUUCCCAAGGGUUUCCUUCUCAAUGCAGUUAGGUGACCCUCUGACUUACUGUCCAAAACGGGACAAUUUCGAGAAUAAAAAGGGGUGCCUCAAAUGGCUCCCAGAGGUUUGAGGAUCCAGGGCCCUGCCCACCUUCUGUUUCUAGGUCUGAGCCUUAGAAACAAGACACAAGACCCUAGCCCCAGAAAGAUCUCAAAAUCAAGGAAACUUUUCCAUCAGGUAAUACCGUUUUACUUGUUUGCUUAUAGGACAUAAGCCCAUCACAGGGCUUACCCAGCUGCCUUUGAGAAAUGUUUGGGGUCACAUUGGCUAAAAUUAAGUACUUUGUGGUGAACUGGAUUUGACUGGAACUAAAGGAUCGACUUCCAAGCUCACUCCUGUGGCUGUCGGCAGGAGGCUUCAGUUCCUUACCACAUAGACCUUUCCACAGCAUGAGGGCUCCAGUGUCUGCAGAUUUGACUGGAACUAGAGGAUCAACUUCCAAGCUGGAACUAGAGGAUCAACUUCCAAGCUCACUCCUAUGGGUGCUGGCAGGACGCUUCAGUUCCUCACCACAUAGACCUUUUCACAGCAUGGCUUCCUCUAAAUUCUCCUGGCCAACUCUUCAAUAGCACAGGUCCAAGACCGCCAUGACAUAGGAAUGGAUGAACAGUUGAUAUGGAUCAUGCGUGGGGGAUAGAAGGUGAACGUCGGUGAACAGGCUCGGUCAUCCCCUUCCCUGAGGUGCUUGCUUCCUUCCACUCAUGCCUUUGUGUGAUCUCGCCCCUUAAGUAUGGGCAGGGCUUCUGACUUGCUUCUGACCAACGGAACGUGGCAAAGUCAAUGGGAGGCCACUCUGUGAUGACGCUGGGUUAAAAAAGACCCUGUGUCACUAGCAGAUGUGUUCUGCUCUCUCUUCAUUUGUUGGCUUCGAAGAAGCAAACUGCCAUGGACUCAGCUGAAAGGAGUCAAAUGCCUCCAACAAUCACAUAAGCAGGGAAGUGGACACUUCCCUGGUGGAGCCUCUGGUGAGAACCCAGCCCUGGCUGACGCAUUAAUUGCAGCCUGUGAGACCUUUAGCAGAAGCCCUCCUGAUCCACAGAAACUGUGAGAUAAUAAGCCACUAAGUUUGUUGUAAUUUGUUAUGGGGCAUAGAUAACUAGUACACGCAGUCCUACUGAGAUUUUCUCUCUCCCUCUUUUUUUUUUUCUAUGAAUAAACUCCUUUCUAUUUUUGAGCUUUCCUUUCCAAGUCACACAUUUUAUUUCAAAUAAUUGAUAGUUGUAAUAAUCAGCUUGCUGCUUGAAAAUACCCGCAAGCCUCGGGGUAUAUUGUCUUAGUCUGUUUUCUGUUGCUAUAACUAAAUAACUAAAAGUAGGUAACUUAUAAAGGAAAGAAGGUUAUUUCUUACAGUUCUAGAGACUGAGGCUGGGAAGUCCAAAGCUGAGAGGUCACAUUUGGUGAGGGCUUCUUGCUGGUGAGGACCCUCUGUAGAGUACUGAGGUGGUUCAGGGUAUCACAUAGACAGAGGGGCUCACUGAGAGCCAGACUGGCUUUUAUAACAGACCCACUCUUGUGAUAACUUGCCUACUCCUAUGAUAACUCAUUAAUUCAUUAAUCCAUGAAUGGAUGAAUCCAUACAUGAAGGCAGGAUGGAUUAAUGUGCCUUCAUGUCCCAGUUACCUCUGAAAGGCCCCACCUCUUGAUACUGUUAUAUUGGGUAUUAAGUUUCAACAUGAAUUUGGGAGGGGACAAAUAUUCAAACCAUAGCACACACCAUAGAAACUUCUUGCUCAUGCAUCUAUAGGUCAGCCAGGAUUGGUUAAUCUAGGCCGGCUAUUGCACUUGGCUGCAAGCUCCAUGCUGAAUGGGCAUCUGCUCCAUGAGUGUCUCAUCCUCCUUGGACCAGGGGACAAGUGAGGCAUGUUCUUCUCACAAUGUGCAACAUGCCAAGUCCAACUGUGAGGCAUAUUUCAAUUCUUGCUUGGGUGAGGAGUGUUGACAUACCAUCGCUCAAAGCAAGUCACAUGGCCAAGCUCAAAGUCAAGGGACAGGAAAGUAUACUCCCUAGACUCCAAGGCCAUGGUAUGGAGCAGGUGGACUGGGGGAAGUACUGGGAGCAGUAAGUCAAUCUCCCAG